AUACAAUGAGAAUUCCACCACACUCUCUCACGUGCUGCUUCAGGUUGUUUACCAUCUGCCAGCUGCUGGUCGAGUACAGCAAAGGUGCAGUCAAACAGUGUAAACAAGACCUACAGGAUCUAGUGCACAAAUGCACAGAGUGAGAGUCGGGGAAGAUAAAAGAUGGCCAGUCCACAGAGAGAGGAGAGAGACAGACAGACCAGAGUCUUCAUGUCUGUUCCCCGAGAGAGAGAGUCUUGUGUUGCGUGAAGCUGA